rnacentral:rRNA from 1 species
AAAAAAGGUAAGCUACUAAGAGCGAAUGGUGGAUGCCUUGACUGGUAAAGGCGAUGAAGGACGUACUAGACUGCGAUAAGCUACGGGGAGCUGUCAAGAAGCUUUGAUCCGUAGAUUUCCGAAUGGGGCAACCCAAUGUAUAGAGAUAUACAUUACCUAUAUAGGAGCGAACGAGGGGAAUUGAAACAUCUUAGUACCCUCAGGAAAAGAAAUCAAUAGAGAUUGCGUCAGUAGCGGCGAGCGAAAGCGCAAGAGGGCAAACCCAGUGCUUGCACUGGGGGUUGUAGGACUGCAAUGUGCAAGAGGUAAGUUUAGCAGAACAUUCUGGAAAGUAUAACCAUAGAGGGUGAUAGUCCCGUAUGCGAAAAACAAACCUUAGCUAGCAGUAUCCUGAGUAGGGCGGGACACGAGGAAUCCUGUCUGAAUCCGGGUCGACCACGAUCCAACCCUAAAUACUAAUACCAGAUCGAUAGUGCACAAGUACCGUGAGGGAAAGGUGAAAAGAACUGAGGUGAUCAGAGUGAAAUAGAACCUGAAACCAUUUGCUUACAAUCAUUCAGAGCCCUAUGUAGCAAUACAGGGUGAUGGACUGCCUUUUGCAUAAUGAGCCUGCGAGUUGUGGUGUCUGGCAAGGUUAAGCAAACGCGAAGCCGUAGCGAAAGCGAGUCUGAAUAGGGCGCUUAGUCAGAUGCUGCAGACCCGAAACGAAGUGAUCUAUCCAUGAGCAAGUUGAAGCUAGUGUAAGAACUAGUGGAGGACUGAACCCAUAGGCGUUGAAAAGCCCCGGGAUGACUUGUGGAUAGGGGUGAAAGGCCAAUCAAACUUCGUGAUAGCUGGUUCUCUCCGAAAUAUAUUUAGGUAUAGCGUUGUGUCGUAAUAUAAGGGGGUAGAGCACUGAAUGGGCUAGGGCAUACACCAAUGUACCAAACCCUAUCAAACUCCGAAUACCUUAUAUGUAAUCACAGCAGUCAGGCGGCGAGUGAUAAAAUCCGUCGUCAAGAGGGAAACAACCCAGACUACCAGCUAAGGUCCCUAAAUCUUACUUAAGUGGAAAACGAUGUGAAGUUACUUAAACAACCAGGAGGUUGGCUUAGAAGCAGCCAUCCUUUAAAGAAAGCGUAAUAGCUCACUGGUCUAGUGAUUUUGCGCGGAAAAUAUAACGGGGCUAAAGUAAGUACCGAAGCUGUAGACUUGCACACAAUUUAGAUUAUUUAAGUUUAGAAUAUGAGAAACUAAGUUAUAUGUUUAGUUAUAUUUUUACUGAUUUUUAUAGAGUAAAGAUAGAAAUAAAACUUAGUAAAAUCAGUAAAAAUAUUCUUAGACUAAAGUUAAGUAGUUUAAGUUGUGUGCAAGUGGUAGGAGAGCGUUCUAUUUGCGUCGAAGGUAUACCGGUAAGGAGUGCUGGAGCGAAUAGAAGUGAGCAUGCAGGCAUGAGUAGCGAUAAUUAAUGUGAGAAUCAUUAACGCCGUAAACCCAAGGUUUCCUACGCGAUGCUCGUCAUCGUAGGGUUAGUCGGGUCCUAAGUCGAGUCCGAAAGGGGUAGACGAUGGCAAAUUGGUUAAUAUUCCAAUACCAACAUUAGUGUGCGAUGGAAGGACGCUUAGGGCUAAGGGGGCUAGCGGAUGGAAGUGCUAGUCUAAGGUCGUAGGAGGUUGUACAGGCAAAUCCGUAUAACAAUACUCCGAGAACUGAAAGGCUUUUUGAAGUCUUCGGAUGGAUAGAAGAACCCCUGAUGCCGUCGAGCCAAGAAAAGUUUCUAAGUUUAGCUAAUGUUGCCCGUACCGUAAACCGACACAGGUGGGUGGGAUGAGUAUUCUAAGGCGCGUGGAAGAACUCUCUUUAAGGAACUCUGCAAAAUAGCACCGUAUCUUCGGUAUAAGGUGUGGUUAGCUUUGUAUUAGGAUUUACUCCGAAAGCAAGGAAACUUACAACAAAGAGUCCCUCCCGACUGUUUACCAAAAACACAGCACUCUGCUAACUCGUAAGAGGAUGUAUAGGGUGUGACGCCUGCCCGGUGCUCGAAGGUUAAUUGAUGGGGUUAGCAUUAGCGAAGCUCUUGAUCGAAGCCCGAGUAAACGGCGGCCGUAACUAUAACGGUCCUAAGGUAGCGAAAUUCCUUGUCGGUUAAAUACCGACCUGCAUGAAUGGCGUAACGAGAUGGGAGCUGUCUCAAAGAGGGAUCCAGUGAAAUUGUAGUGGAGGUGAAAAUUCCUCCUACCCGCGGCAAGACGGAAAGACCCCGUGGACCUUUACUACAGCUUGACACUGCUACUUGGAUAAGAAUGUGCAGGAUAGGUGGGAGGCUUUGAGUAUAUGACGCCAGUUGUAUAUGAGCCAUUGUUGAGAUACCACUCUUUCUUAUUUGGGUAGCUAACCAGCUUGAGUUAUCCUCAAGUGGGACAAUGUCUGGUGGGUAGUUUGACUGGGGCGGUCGCCUCCCAAAUAAUAACGGAGGCUUACAAAGGUUGGCUCAGAACGGUUGGAAAUCGUUCGUAGAGUAUAAAGGUAUAAGCCAGCUUAACUGCAAGACAUACAAGUCAAGCAGAGACGAAAGUCGGUCUUAGUGAUCCGGUGGUUCUGUGUGGAAGGGCCAUCGCUCAAAGGAUAAAAGGUACCCCGGGGAUAACAGGCUGAUCUCCCCCAAGAGCUCACAUCGACGGGGAGGUUUGGCACCUCGAUGUCGGCUCAUCGCAUCCUGGGGCUGGAGCAGGUCCCAAGGGUAUGGCUGUUCGCCAUUUAAAGCGGUACGCGAGCUGGGUUCAGAACGUCGUGAGACAGUUCGGUCCCUAUCUGCCGUGGGCGUAAGAAGAUUGAAGAGAUUUGACCCUAGUACGAGAGGACCGGGUUGAACAAACCACUGGUGUAGCUGUUGUUCUGCCAAGAGCAUCGCAGCGUAGCUAAGUUUGGAAAGGAUAAACGCUGAAAGCAUCUAAGCGUGAAGCCAACUCUAAGAUGAAUCUUCUCUAAGCUCUCUAGAAGACUACUAGUUUGAUAGGCUGGGUGUGUAAUGGAUGAAAGUCCUUUAGCUGACCAGUACUAAUAGAGCGUUUGGCUUAUCUUUAAUAAAGCAU